AAUCAACGCUGGCGGCGUGCCUAACACAUGCAAGUCGAACGAGAAAGUGGAGCAAUCCAUGAGUACAGUGGCGAACGGGUGAGUAACACGUGACUAACCUACCUUCCAGUGGGGAUAACCUCGGGAAACCGGGGCUAAGACCGCAUAACCUCGUGAGGUGAGAUUCCUUGCGAGCAAAGGGGUAAGACGCUGGAUGAGGGGGUCGCGGCCGAUUAGCUAGUUGGCGGGGUAACGGCCCAACAAGGCGAUGAUCGGUAGCCGGCCUGAGAGGGCGCACGGCCACACUGGAGCUGUAACACGGUCCAGACGCCUACGGGAGGCAGCAGUGGGGAAUUUUGCACAAUGGGGGAAGCCCUGAUGCAGCAACGCCGCGUGGAGGAUGAAGUCCCUUGGGACGUAAACUCCUUUCGACCGGGACGAUAAUGACGGUACCGGUGGAAGAAGCCCCGGCUAACUCCGUGCCAGCCGCCGCCGUAA
rnacentral:rRNA from 1 species